UACAGAGGUCUCAAGCGUUGUUCGGAUUCAUUGGGCGUAAAGGGUGCGUAGGUGGCGGGGUAAGUCAGGUGUGAAAUCUCGGGGCUCAACCCCGAAACUGCACUUGAUACUGCCUUGCUCGAGUACUGGAGAGGAGAUUGGAAUUUACGGUGUAGCAGUGAAAUGCGUAGAUAUUCGCAAGAACACCAGUGGCGAAGGCGGCUCACUGGCCCGAUACUGACGCUGAGGCACGAAAGCGUGGGGAGCAAACGGG
rnacentral:rRNA from 1 species